GUUGUUAUGCUCCCCGAAAAAAUUUCGGGGGAGCAUAUAGUCGCCGCCUUGUCCGUCCGUCCGUCCAUCCGUCCGUCCGUCUUUCCGUCCGUCCGUCCGUCCGUCCGUCCGUCCCCUUUUCUUGUCCGGGACAUAACUUUGAAACAACAAGAGGUAUCAACAUGAAACUUUGUAGGUAGAUAGAUCUCAUUGAGUAGAAGUGCAGUGCACAAGAACCGUAACUCUGCCUUGCCUAAUUUUUGAAUUAUUCCCCUUUGUUUAUUUUACACUUUGAACUUUGUCCGGGACAUAACUCUAAAAGUAUAAGAGGUAUCAACAUGAAACUUUGUAGGUAGAUAGAUCUCAUUGAGUAGAAGUGCAGUGCACAAGAACUGUAACUCUGCCUUACCUAAUUUUUGAAUUACCCCCCUUUGUUUAUUUUACACUUUGAACUUUGUCCGGGACAUAACUCUAAAAGUAUAAGAGAUAUUAACAUGAAACUUUGUAGGUAGAUAGAUCUCAUUGAGUAGAAGUGCAGUGCACAAGAACCGUAACUCUGCCUUGCCUAAUUUUUUAAUUAUCCCCUUUGUUUAUUUUACACUUUGAACUUUGUCCGGGACAUAACUCUAAAAGUAUAAGAGGUAUCAACAUGAAACUUUGUAGGUAGAUAGAUCUCAUUGAGUAGGUGUGCAGUGCACAAGAACCAUAACUCUGCCUUGCCUAAUUUUUGAAUUAUCCCCCUUUGUUUAUUUUACACUUCGAAAUUUGUCCAGGACAUAACUCUAAAAGUAUAAGAGAUAUCAACAUGAAACUGUGUAGGUAGAUAGAUCUCAUUGAGUAGGUGUGCAGUGCACAAGAACCGUAACUCUGCCUUGUCUAAUUUUUGAAUUAUCCCCCUUUGUUUAUUUUACACUUUGAACUUUGUCCGGGACAUAACUCUAAAAGUAUAAGA